rnacentral:rRNA from 1 species
CAGCAGCCACGGGAAUACGAAGGGGGCUAGCGUUGCUCGGAAUGACUGGGCGUAAAGGGCGCGUAGGCGGCGGCCAAAGUCAGGCGUGAAAUUCCUGGGCUCAACCUUGGGGCUGCGCUUGAUACUUGGUUGCUUGAGUGGGGAAGAGGGUCGUGGAAUUCCCAGUGUAGAGGUGAAAUUCGUAGAUAUUGGGAAGAACACCGGUGGCGAAGGCGGCGACCUGGUCCUUGACUGACGCUGAGGCGCGAAAGCGUGGGGAGCAAACAGGAUUAGAUACCCCCGUAGUCCCUGUCUCUUAUAC